rnacentral:sRNA from 1 species
GCCGCGGCAAAAUCCGCUGCCGGGUUUCGCAGCCUGAAUAUCACGUUAGAAACACAUAUGUCAUAAUUAUGUGUU